rnacentral:rRNA from 1 species
CCUACGGGCGGCAGCAGUGGGGAAUAUUGCACAAUGGGGGAAACCCUGAUGCAGCGACGCCGCGUGAGUGAAGAAGUACUUCGGUAUGUAAAGCUCUUUCUGCAGGGAAGAAAAUGACGGUACCUGUUUAAGAAGCUCCGGCUAAAUACGUGCCAGCAGCCGCGGUAACACGGAGGGGGCAAGCGUUAUCCGGAUGUACUGGGUGGAAAGGGAGCGUAGACGGCAGGACAAGUCUGGAGUGAAAUGCCGGGGCUUAACCCCGGAACUGCAUGGGAAACUGGGCAGCUAGAGUGCAGGAGAGGUAAGUGGAAUUCCUGGUGUAGCGGUGAAAUGCGUAGAUAUUAGGAGGAACACCGGUGGCGAAGGCAGCUUACUGGACUGUAACUGACGUUGAGGCUCGAAAGCGUGGGGAGCAAACAGGAUUAGAUACCCUUGUAGUC